GAUGAACGCUGGCGGCGUGCUUAACACAUGCAAGUCGAACGAAGCGCUUAAACGGAUUUCUUCGGAAUGAAGUUUUUGCGACUGAGUGGCGGACGGGUGAGUAACGCGUGGGUAACCUGCCUCAUACAGGGGGAUAACAGUUAGAAAUGACUGCUAAUACCGCAUAAGCGCACAGUGCUGCAUGGCACAGUGUGAAAAACUCCGGUGGUAUGAGAUGGACCCGCGUCUGAUUAGCCAGUUGGCGGGGUAACGGCCCACCAAAGCGACGAUCAGUAGCCGGCCUGAGAGGGCGACCGGCCACAUUGGGACUGAGACACGGCCCAA
rnacentral:rRNA from 1 species